UAGUUCUGGUCCUGGCUCUGGUCCUGGCUCUGGUCCUGGUCCUGGUUCUCAGUGAGUGUCCAGGCUCUGGUUCUGGUCCAGGUUCUUGUCCUGGUCCUGGUUCUCAGUGAGUGUCCAGGUUCUGGUUCUGGCCCUGGUCCUAGUCUUGGUCCUGGUCCUGGUCCUGGUCCUGGUCCUGGUCCUGGUCCUGGUCCUGGUCCUGGUCCUGGUCCCGGCUAUCAGUGAGCCGCUGGGUCCUCCUGGUUCUCAGGCUGACUGUGUGACGGUUGGGUUCUGGCUGCAGCAGGAGGAGGGUCCUCGGCGCUGUGCUGUGGUUUCCUGUUUGAAGGUGGGAGGAUGUGCAGACGGUUGCAGCAGCGUUCACACGCCGCCGCCGCCACCGCCGCCGCCGCCCGCUCUGAUUGGCUGACGGAGGAGCUGCUGCCUGACGCUUCCUGCAGGCUUCAGUCGGUGACUCAUCUCCGCCUCGGGUUCUUCGGGUUCUUCCACUUCUUCUUCUGCUUUUGCUCCCGUCCCAGAAAUCUGAAGAGGUCAGAGGUCAGGGUCUGGGCGGAGGGAGGCCGGGGCUCGGCCGGUGAUUGGGCGCGGCGAGGGACGGAGGAGACGAGUCGGAGACGAGAACAUGGCCGCCGGCGGUCUCGGGAGGAGCCGAUCCUGAACCAGAGCUUCGUCCAGACGCCGCCGAACGGGAAUGAUGGACGCCUCCUGGCUCCCCCUGCUGCUGUCCGCCGCCGUCCUGAUGGCCGCCGUCGUCCUGCUGGCGGUCUGUGUGGACUGCAGGAACAACGGGCCGCUGGCGUCCAUACCACAAACCCACGCCUCCGAAGACUACAUCCGGUCCACUGACUUCAGAAUCAUCCAUCCAUCUCGAACAAACACAGACCUGAACUCCCUGGGCUCCCCGUCCAACCUGCUGUCGCCGCUCCCAAAUUCCGUUGGUGGAUCUCAAAGACAGCCGUCCUUCACUGCCACUGAGACUGAGAGUAAUCCCAGCUACGAGAAUCCAGGACCGGAGUGUCUGGACAGCGACGCUGAAGACCCCGGCUACAUAAUCGUGCUGCCGGACGGUGAAGCUCCGCCCAGUUUGAGCCGCGCCUCCACGCCGAACUCCGGGACCUCAGAUGCAGAACCCAACUACGUCAACAUCGCCUGUUUGCCUCCAGAGGACAGCCAAGACUACGUCAACGUGGAACCCAGCUCCGUCUCCCAGGCGAUGCCCGAAUCUUCAGCUCAGACCGACGACGACGACGACGACAGUGACGACGACGACGAGGGAAACUACGUCAAUCAGCCUCCUGUGGCGCUAGAGGAUCGUCGUCAAGCAGAAAAACCCAAAUCCCAGCCUGAUGCACUGCUGGCUGCUUUUGCCGAGCAGAGAAAAUCCAAAUAAAAGAGCCAAAG
rnacentral:lncRNA from 1 species